UCUUUCCACCCCUCCACUUCUCACCUUAUUCAAUAUAUUGGUGAUGUUCUUCUUUGUAGCCCCUCCUUUGAAUCUUCUCAACAAGACACACUUCUGCUCCUUCAGCAUUUAUUCUCCAAAGGAUAUCCCCCUCCAAAGCUCAAAUUUCUUCUCCAUCCAGCAACUGUGUCUUCUCCACUGCCACUGCCACAACCUCCAAGUUCCUCCCUCCCUUGUUGCCUAGAAAAUUGCCACACUGAUGACUGGG
rnacentral:lncRNA from 10 species